rnacentral:sRNA from 1 species
ACCUCCACCAAGCAUUCAUGGAAAACCUGGGACGUAAAUAGGGAACUGUGCUUGGAAAGUACAGAGAUAAAACAAUUCUGGCCCCACCUCGCAAGGAGCUUACAGCCUUAAAAAGAAUGAUCAUAGAAACUCUUAGGUACAAAUGGAAACUGCUUGCUAAAUACAAGAACUACUAAAAUAUUACAUGACCCAAGAGAAUGGGCCAAUGCUGAAGCCCAUGUCAGCUAAGGCUGAGAUCCCAUGCGAGGCCCAAGAAAACUAGAAGUAGUGGAGGUCAAAUCUCGGCAAAUCACUAUCCGCUGGGAGCCAUUUGGAUAUAAUGUAACUCGUUGCCACAGUUAUAAUCUCACUGUCCACUACUGUUACCAAGUUGGAGGACAAGAACAAGUGCGAGAAGAAGUAAGCUGGGAUACAGAAAACUCACACCCUCAACACACGAUCACUAACCUGUCACCAUACACCAAUGUCAGUGUGAAACUGAUCCUCAUGAACCCAGAGGGCCGGAAGGAAAGCCAAGAACUCAUAGUGCAGACAGAUGAAGACCUCCCAGGUGCUGUUCCCACUGAAUCCAUACAAGGAAGUACCUUUGAAGAGAAGAUAUUUCUUCAGUGGAGAGAACCAACUCAAACAUAUGGUGUAAUCACUUUAUAUGAGAUCACCUACAAAGCAGUCAGUUCCUUUGACCCAGAAAUAGAUUUAUCCAAUCAGAGUGGAAGAGUUUCAAAGCUGGGAAAUGAAACCCAUUUUCUGUUUUUUGGACUGUAUCCGGGGACCACAUACUCCUUUACCAUCCGAGCUAGCACAGCUAAGGGUUUUGGGCCUCCAGCAACAAACCAGUUCACCACCAAAAUAUCAGCACCUUCUAUGCCAGCUUAUGAACUUGAGACACCUUUGAAUCAAACUGACAAUACCGUGACAGUCAUGCUGAAACCUGCCCACAGCAGAGGAGCACCUGUCAGUGUCUAUCAAAUAGUUGUUGAGGAAGAACGUCCUCGAAGAACUAAAAAGACGACAGAAAUCUUAAAGUGCUACCCAGUGCCAAUUCACUUCCAGAAUGCUUCUCUGCUGAACUCACAGUACUACUUUGCUGCAGAAUUUCCUGCAGA